rnacentral:rRNA from 1 species
UAACACGUAGGGGGCAAGCGUUGUCCGGAUUUAUUGGGCGUAAAGAGCUCGUAGGCGGCUCAGUAAGUCGGGUGUGAAACCCCCGGGCUCAACCCGGGGACGCCACCCGAUACUGCUGUGGCUUGAGUCCGGUAGGGGAGCGUGGAAUUCCUGGUGUAGCGGUGAAAUGCGCAGAUAUCAGGAGGAACACCAGCGGCGAAGGCGGCGCUCUGGGCCGGAACUGACGCUGAGGAGCGAAAGCGUGGGGAGCGAACAGGAUUAGAUACCCUGGUAGUCCACGCUGUAAACGUUGGGCACUAGGUGUGGGAUGUUACCAAUGCAUUCUGUGCCGUAGCUAACGCAUUAAGUGCCCCGCCUGGGGAGUACGGCCGCAAGGCUA